AUUGAACGCUGGCGGCAUGCCUAACACAUGCAAGUCGAACGGCAGCAUGACCUAGCUUGCUAGGUUGAUGGCGAGUGGCGGACGGGUGAGUAACGCGUAGGAAUAUGCCUUGAAGAGGGGGAUAACUUGGGGAAACUCAAGCUAAUACCGCGUAAUAUCUGAGGAUGAAAGCUGGGGACCGUAAGGCCUGGCGCUUUAAGAAUAGCGUGCGUACGAUUAGCUAGUUGGUGGGGUAAGGGCCUACCAAGGCGACGAUCGUUAGCUGGUCUGAGAGGAUGAUCAGCCACACUGGGACUGAGGCACGGCCCAGGCUCCUACGGGAGGCAGCAGUGGGGAAUAUUGGACAAUGGGGGCAACCCUGAUCCAGCAAUGCCGCGUGUGUGAAGAAGGCCUGAGGGUUGUAAAGCACUUUCAGUGGGGAGGAGGGUUGACAGGUUAAGAGCUAGUUGACUGGACGUUACCCACAGAAGAAGCACCGGCUAACUCCGUGCCAGCCGCCGCCGUAA
rnacentral:rRNA from 1 species